CUACGGGCUGCUGCAGUGAGGAAUAUUGGUCAAUGGGCGAAAGCCUGAACCAGCCAUGCCGCGUGAAGGAUGACGGCCCUAUGGGUUGUAAACUUCUUUUGUACGGGAAGAAACCCCUCUACGUGUAGAGGUUUGACGGUACCGUACGAAUAAGCAUCGGCUAACUCCGUGCCAGCAGCCGCGGUAAUACGGAGGAUGCAAGCGUUAUCCGGAUUUAUUGGGUUUAAAGGGUACGUAGGCGGAAACUUAAGUCAGUAGUGAAAUCCCGCAGCUUAACUGUGGAACUGCUAUUGAUACUGGGUUUCUUGAAUAUUGUUGAGGUAGGCGGAAUAAGUAAUGUAGCGGUGAAAUGCUUAGAUAUUACUUAGAACACCGAUUGCGAAGGCAGCUUACUAAGCAACUAUUGACGCUGAGGUACGAAAGCGUGGGGAGCGAACAGGAUUAGAUACCCGUGUAGUC
rnacentral:rRNA from 1 species